AUUUAUUAGGCACCCACUGUGUAUUAGUCACUUUACAUAUAUUGUCUCCUUCCCACACAACAGUCUCUUCUAUUCUCUCUGCUGGAGUUUCCUCCUCCUCCUCCUCCUCCUCCUCUCUUCCUCCUCUUCUCCUUCCUCCUCCUCUUCCUCCUUCUCUUCCUCCUCUUCCUCCUCUCCUCACUCCUCCUUUACUUUCUCCUGUCUCUUGGGGAAAAGAAAUAACACUUAACAAACACCUACUGGUCUGCUUCACACUUUCCACCCGUGCCUCUCUCUCUUUUUUUUUUUUUUUUUUUGAGAUGGAGUCUUGCUCUGUCGCCCAGGCUGGAGUGCAGGGGGGCAAUCUGAGCUCACUGCAACCUCUGCCUCCCGGGUUCAAGCGAUUCUCCUGUCUCAGCCUCCUGAGUAGCUGGGAUUACAGGCACCCACCAACAUGCUCGGCUAAUUUUUUGUAUUUUAGUAGAGACGGGGUUUCACCGUGUUGCCCAAGCUGGUCUCGAACUCCUGAGCUCAGGCAAUCCACCUGCCUAGGCCUCCCAAAGUGCUGGGAUUACAGGCGUGAGCCACCGUGCCUGGCUCUAUGUCCCUCUCUUUAGGCUGCCUCUCCUUCUGCUUUUGCUCUGCGGGACUUUCUUCUUCUCCCUUUUCAUGUGGUCCUGAAGGGCCUGGGCAGUUAUUGAGCACCGACUGUGUGCCAGGCUUUUUAUAGAUACAGCCUCCCCUUCUCACCCUCGAUUCCCCCUUUCUCUUCCUCUCUCUGCCUUCCUACUCUCUGUGCUCUCCCCUAGGAAAGGGGAAGGGCACCAAUUGAGCGCCAACUGUGUACCAAGGCGACUCUCUUUAGCCCCUUCCUUUCCCCUCAGCCGCCACAGCCCUAGAAGGGGUGGCCAGCUACACCGUGCGGGGCUGCAGGAAAGAGGAGGAGGAAGGAGGAUGUGGGCUGCAGCCUGAUUUCUCCCUUGGAAAAAUAUGUGGACGACAAUGGCUACUCCCUCCCAGGUCAGGGUGGGGUGGGGGAGGCUGAAGGAGGCCUGGAGGGACUCUAGGAAGGAACACUCUAGAAUCUGAGCCUGAGAGGCAGCCCGUGCCCAUGGAGGGGACGCUUCUGCUGCCAGUCACCACACUGGAUUCAAGCCUGAGCCUCCUUCCUCCACCUCCCUCUCCCCUCCGCAGGCCUUCCUGCC
rnacentral:lncRNA from 1 species